UACGGGGGGAGCAAGCGUUGUUCGGAUUUACUGGGCGUAAAGGGCGCGUAGGCGGUCAGCACAAGUCAGUUGUGAAAUCUCCGGGCUUAACCCGGAAAGGUCAACUGAUACUGUGCGACUAGAGUGCGGAAGGGGCAACUGGAAUUCUCGGUGUAGCGGUGAAAUGCGUAGAUAUGCGGAGGAACACCGAUGGCGAAGGCAAUCCCCUGGACCUGUACUGACGCUCAUGCACGAAAGCGUGGGGAGCAAACAGG
rnacentral:rRNA from 1 species